UGGGGAAUAUUGCACAAUGGGCGCAAGCCUGAUGCAGCCAUGCCGCGUGUAUGAAGAAGGCCUUCGGGUUGUAAAGUACUUUCAGUCGGGAGGAAGGUGGUAAGGUUAAUAACCUUGGCAAUUGACGUUACCGACAGAAGAAGCACCGGCUAACUCCGUGCCAGCAGCCGCGGUAAUACGGAGGGUGCAAGCGUUAAUCGGAAUUACUGGGCGUAAAGCGCACGCAGGCGGUUUGUUAAGUCGGAUGUGAAAUCCCCGGGCUCAACCUGGGAACUGCAUCUGAUACUGGCAAGCUUGAGUCUCGUAGAGGGGGGUAGAAUUCCAGGUGUAGCGGUGAAAUGCGUAGAGAUCUGGAGGAAUACCGGUGGCGAAGGCGGCCCCCUGGACGAAGACUGACGCUCAGGUGCGAAAGCGUGGGGAGCAAACAGG
rnacentral:rRNA from 1 species